rnacentral:rRNA from 1 species
GAACGGGUGAGUAACACGUGGGUGAUCUGCCCUGCACUUUGGGAUAAGCCUGGGAAACUGGGUCUAAUACCGAAUAUGACCGCACACUUCCUGGUGUGUGGUGGAAAGCUUUUGCGGUGUGGGAUGGGCCCGCGGCCUAUCAGCUUGUUGGUGGGGUAAUGGCCUACCAAGGCGACGACGGGUAGCCGGCCUGAGAGGGUGACCGGCCACACUGGGACUGAGAUACGGCCCAGACUCCUACGGGAGGCAGCAGUGGGGAAUAUUGCACAAUGGGCGCAAGCCUGAUGCAGCGACGCCGCGUGAGGGAUGACGGCCUUCGGGUUGUAAACCUCUUUCAAUAGGGACGAAGCGCAAGUGACGGUACCUAUAGAAGAAGGACCGGCCAACUACGUGCCAGCAGCCGCGGUAAUACGUAGGGUCCGAGCGUUGUCCGGAAUUACUGGGCGUAAAGAGCUCGUAGGUGGUUUGUCGCGUUGUUCGUGAAAACUCACAGCUUAACUGUGGGCGUGCGGGCGAUACGGGCAGACUAGAGUACUGCAGGGGAGACUGGAAUUCCUGGUGUAGCGGUGGAAUGCGCAGAUAUCAGGAGGAACACCGGUGGCGAAGGCGGGUCUCUGGGCAGUAACUGACGCUGAGGAGCG